rnacentral:rRNA from 1 species
CGAACGGGUGAGUAACACGUGGGCAACCUGCCCAAAAGAGGGGGAUAACACUUGGAAACAGGGGCUAAUACCGCAUAACCAUAGUUACCGCAUGGUGACUAUGUAAAAGGUGGCUAUACUACCGCUUUUGGAUGGGCCCGCGGCGCAUUAGCUAGUUGGUAGGGUAAAGGCUUACCAAGGCAAUGAUGCGUAGCCGAAUUGAGAGGUUGAUCGGCCACAUUGGGACUGAGACACGGCCCAAACUCCUACGGGAGGCAGCAGUAGGGAAUCUUCCACAAUGGGCGAAAGCCUGAUGGAGCAACGCCGCGUGGGUGAAGAAGGUCUUCGGAUCGUAAAACCCUGUUGUUAGAGAAGAAAGUGCGUGAGAGUAACUGUUCACGUUUCGACGGUAUCUAACCAGAAAGCCACGGCUAACUACGUGCCAGCAGCCGCGGUAAUACGUAGGUGGCAAGCGUUAUCCGGAUUUAUUGGGCGUAAAGGGAACGCAGGCGGUCUUUUAAGUCUGAUGUGAAAGCCUUCGGCUUAACCGGAGUAGUGCAUUGGAAACUGGGAGACUUGAGUGCAGAAGAGGAGAGUGGAACUCCAUGUGUAGCGGUGAAAUGCGUAGAUAUAUGGAAGAACACCAGUGGCGAAAGCGGCUCUCUGGUCUGUAACUGACGCUGAGGUUCGAAAGCGUGGGUAGCAAACAGGAUUAGAUACCCUGGUAGUCCACGCCGUAAACGAUGAAUGCUAAGUGUUG